rnacentral:tRNA from 3 species
AGGCGUGUGGCGAAAAGGUUUAACGCACUGGACUUUGACUCCAGCAUUUGUGGGUUCGAAUCCCACCACGUCUG